rnacentral:rRNA from 1 species
CUACGGGGUGCAGCAGUAGGGAAUAUUGCACAAUGGGCGAAAGCCUGAUGCAGCAACGCCGCGUGCGCGAUGAGGGCCUUCGGGUUGUAAAGCGCUUUUCUGAGGGAAGAGGAAGGACUGUACCUCAGGAAUAAGUCUCGGCUAACUACGUGCCAGCAGCCGCGGUAACACGUAGGAGGCAAGCGUUAUCCGGAUUUACUGGGCGUAAAGCGCGUGUAGGCGGUUUGGCAAGUCGGAUGUGAAAGCUCCUGGCUCAACUGGGAGAGGUCGUUCGAAACUGCCAGACUAGAGGACGGUAGAGGAAGAUGGAAUUCCCGGUGUAGUAGUGAAAUGCGUAGAUAUCGGGAGGAACACCAGUGGCGAAGGCGGUCUUCUGGGCCGUUCCUGACGCUGAGACGCGAAAGCAUGGGUAGCGAACGGGAUUAGAUACCCCCGUAGUC